rnacentral:rRNA from 1 species
CACGUAGGGGGCAAGCGUUGUCCGGAUUUAUUGGGCGUAAAGAGCUUGUAGGCGGUUUGUCGCGUCUGCUGUGAAAUUUCGGGGCUCAACCCCGAACUUGCAGUGGGUACGGGCAGACUAGAGUGUGGUAGGGGAGACUGGAAUUCCUGGUGUAGCGGUGAAAUGCGCAGAUAUCAGGAGGAACACCGAUGGCGAAGGCAGGUCUCUGGGCCAUAACUGACGCUGAGAAGCGAAAGCAUGGGGAGCGAACAGG